AACGAACGCUGGCGGCAGGCCUAACACAUGCAAGUCGAGCGCACCUUCGGGUGAGCGGCGGACGGGUUAGUAACGCGUGGGAACAUACCCUUUUCUACGGAAUAGCCUCGGGAAACUGAGAGUAAUACCGUAUACGCCCUUCGGGGGAAAGAUUUAUCGGUGAAGGAUUGGCCCGCGUUUGAUUAGAUAGUUGGUGGGGUAAUGGCCUACCAAGUCUACGAUCAAUAGCUGGUUUGAGAGGAUGAUCAGCAACACUGGGACUGAGACACGGCCCAGACUCCUACGGGAGGCAGCAGUGGGGAAUCUUAGACAAUGGGCGCAAGCCUGAUCUAGCCAUGCCGCGUGAGUGACGAAGGCCUUAGGGUCGUAAAGCUCUUUCG
rnacentral:rRNA from 1 species